rnacentral:rRNA from 1 species
AUCGGGUAGCUGGUCUGAGAGGACGACCAGCCUCACUGGAACUGAGACACGGUCCAGACACCUACGGGUGGCAGCAGUCGAGAAUUUUUCUCAAUGGGGGAAACCCUGAAGGAGCGACGCCGCGUGGGGGAUGAAUGGCUUCGGCCCGUAAACCCCUGUCAUUUGCGAUCAAACCUUACGACAUAACACGUCGUAAGCUGAUAGUAGCGGAAGAGGAAGGGACGGCUAACUCUGUGCCAGCAGCCGCGGUAAUACAGAGGUCCCAAGCGUUGUUCGGAUUCACUGGGCGUAAAGGGUGCGUAGGCGGUCGGGUAAGUCUGACGUGAAGUCUUCAAGCUCAACUUGGAAACUGCGUCCGAUACUAUUCGGCUAGAGGAAUGGAGGGGAGACUGGAAUACUUGGUGUAGCAGUGAAAUGCGUAGAUAUCAAGUGGAACACCAGUGGCGAAGGCGAGUCUCUGGACAUUUCCUGACGCUGAGGCACGAAAGCCAGGGGAGCAAACGGGAUUAGAUACCCCGGUAGUCCUGGCCCUAAACGGUGCACGUUUGCUGUAAGAGGAAUCGACCCCUUUUGUGGCGAAGCUAACGCGUUAAACGUGCCGCCUGGGAAGUACGGCCGCAAGGUUAAAACUCAAAGAAAUUGGCGGGGGCCUGCACAAGCGGUGGAGUAUGUGGCUUAAUUCGAUACACGCGAAGAACCUUACCUGGCCUUGACAUGCACAUAGUAGAAGGGUGAAAGCCUGACGAGGUAGCAAUACCAGUGUGCACAGGUGCUGCAUGGCUGUCGUCAGCUCGUGUCGUGAGAUGUUGGGUUAAGUCCCGCAACGAGCGCAACCCCUGUGUCCUGUUGCCACCCCUUAACUGGGAGCACUCUGGACAGACUGCCUCGCUUCAACGAGGAGGAGGGUGGGGAUGACGUCAAGUCAGUAUGGCCCUUACGGCCAGGGCUGCACACGUACUACAAUGCCCGGCACAAAGGGAAGCAAGAGCGUAAGCUGGAGCAAAUCCCAGAAAACCGGGCCCAGUUCAGAUUGUCGUCUGCAACUCGACGGCAUGAAGCUGGAAUCGCUAGUAAUGGCGCAUCAGCUACGGCGCCGUGAAUACGUUCCCAGGCCUUGUACACACCGCCCGUCACAUCAUGAAAGCCGCUUGUACCCGAAGUCGCCCCUUAGAAGGUGCCGAAGGUAUGGGUGGUGAUUGGGAUGAAGUCGUAACAAGGUA